UGCUAUUUUUCUAAAAAGGAAUUUUUUUCUUUUUUUCAGGCCUGCAGAUAAAACAUCUAAUGAAAAGAACAAGGUCAAAAACCAAGUACAUCCUGAGGCUGACUUUGCUGACUCAGUGGGGCCAUCUGAAAAGGCUCACUCUACUUAUGAGAAUUUUAUGUUGCUGAUUGAACAACUUGGAAUGGAGCGUAAAGGUAGGACCAUUGCAUAAAUGCAAAGCCUUUUGAUGUAUCCUGCAGUAAUGUGUGUAUACAUUGCUGAGAACUGAUGUGUGAUAGUGAAGCUCAUCUCAGAAAU
rnacentral:lncRNA from 1 species